ACCAAAAAUCUAGCCCUCUCCACAAGAAUGCCCCCCCCCCCCCAUCUUAAAUGAUAAAAUAAAACAUUUUAAUAAUUUAGUAAAGGCGAUAAAAAAAUUUAUUAGAGCUAUAAAAAUAGUACCGCAAGGGAAAAAUGAAAUAGAAAUGAAAAAAUAUUUAAGUAUAAAAAAGUAAAGAUAAAACCUUGUACCUUUUGCAUCAUGGUUUAACCAGUUUUCAUUAAGCAAAACGAAUUUUAAGUUUAACACCCCGAAACUAAACGAGCUACUUCAAGGCAGCUUUAUGAGCCAACCCGUCUCUGUUGCAAAAGAGUGGGAUGACCUUCAAGUAGAAGUGAAAUACCAAUCGAGUUUAGUAAUAGCUGGUUACCCGGUAAAAGAAUUUUAGUUCCACCUAAAGCCAAUUUAAUAUCAUGCGCAGCGCAUGUAGAUAAAAAUAUUGCUUUAGAGUUAUUCAAAUAAGGUACAGCCUAUUUGAAACAGGAUACAACCUAGAAUAAUGGGUUAUCUUUAAUAAUCACACUAAAGUAGGCCUAAGAGCAGCCACCUUCAAAAUAGCGUCAAAGCUUGUCCAUUCUUACGCACUCAAUUACACAAACAACUCAAAACCCUUAACCACCACCGGGUAUUUCUAUACCCUUAUAGAAUAUAUAAUGUUAAAACUAGUAACAAGAAGUAAACCUUCUCUUAAAUGUAAGCAUAAAACAGGAGGAUAAUCCACUGUUAAUUAACACACAUGAGCCCUAAAUAGUAACAUCACAAGAAAACUCUAUUUAUAAUAAUGUCAAUCUAACACAAGAACAUUCCAAGAAAGAUUAAAAAAAAAAGAAGGAAUUCGGCAAAUACCGGCCCCGCCUGUUUAUCAAAAACAUCGCCUCUUGAAAUAUAUAAGAGGUCCAGCCUGCCCAGUGACAUGUGUUCAACGGCCGCGGAAUUAUAACCGUGCGAAGGUAGCGUAAUCAUUUGUUCUUUAAAUGGGGACUAGUAUGAAUGGCAUCACGAGGGUUGAACUGUCUCCUUUCUUUGAUCAGUGAAACUAAUCUCCCCGUGAAGAAGCGGGGAUUAGAAUAUAAGACGAGAAGACCCUAUGAAGCUUUAAACAAACUAACACCCGCUACUAUUUUACAUCCUUCAGAAUUCAAACAAAUAACCUAGCACAAUGAUUACAAGUUUUAGAUUGGGGUGAUCACGGAGUAUAAAAUAACCUCCACGCCGAACGGAUUGCUUCCUGAACAAAAAGCCACAACUUUAUGCACUAAUAAAUUAACUAUUUUGACCCAUUAACAUGACCAACGAACCAAGUUACUCUAGGGAUAACAGCGCAAUCUACUUCAAGAGCUCAUAUCGACAAGUGGGUUUACGACCUCGAUGUUGGAUCAGGGUGUCCUAGUGGUGCAGCCGCUACUAAUGGUUCGUUUGUUCAACGAUUAAAACCCU
rnacentral:rRNA from 1 species